rnacentral:rRNA from 1 species
AUACCCUAGUAUAUUUAUUUUGAAUAAUUAAUAAAAUUUUUGAAAAUUAAAAAUUUUAGCGGUUAAAUUAUAAAUUUAGAGGAGCUUGUUUAUAUAAGAUGUUACUCUUUACAUUUUAAUAUAAGAAGUUUAUUCAUCUCUGUUAUAAAAUUUAUAAAAUUUAAAUGUAAUAAAUUUAAGUAUUUCAGGUCGAGAUGUAGCAUUUUAUAUAAAAAAUUAGCUACAAUUAUGAAAUAAUUUAUAUUAUUCUUAUAAUUAAUUUUUAUUAAUUGAAUUUAGUUGUAAUAAUUAUUAGAAUGUAAUUGUGAUUUUGUAUAAUUAAUGUAUAUAUUGCCCGACACUUCUUUAUUAGAAAAUGAAGAAUAAGUCGUAACAAAGUA